ACUAUACUUAUGUGGUAUCUAGUUACAUUUAGUAACUUGUAAAAGAACUCCACACAAACAGAGCCAGGGUUACCAACAGAAAUCUGCAGAAACCAGUCCAAGAUGAAGCCUCCUGUCCUUUUGGUCCUUGCGAUUUCGACUGUCUUCAACACACCUGUGAAGCUGGUAUCAAAGAGAAAUUCAGAUAUUGCUACAACAAAUCAAGAAUGAGCAAAGGAGAAGGCUCUGAAAUGUCACAGGAUGCAUCGAAAACCUACCAGAAAGUUAAGGCAUGUGCAAAUCGAUUAAAAAAAGUUUCAAAAGUCAUUCCAAAA
rnacentral:lncRNA from 11 species